GGGAGUGUUCUAACCGCCCCCCCGCUUUUUCCUCUCCCCUCUCCUCUCCUCCUCUCCUCUCUCCUCUCCUCCUCUCCUCUCUCCUCUCCUCCUCUCCUCCCCUCUCCUCUCUCCUCUCCUCUCCUCUCUCCUCUCCUCUCCUCUCUCCUCUCCUCUCCUCUCCUCUCCUCUCUCUCCUCUCUCCUCUCUCCUCUCUCCUCUCUCCUCUCCUCUCUCCUCUCUCCUCUCCUCUUCUCUCCUCUCUUGACCCAUUGUACCUGAAGGGCAGAGCUUUGAUUCAGAGCCAAGGCAGCAGGAGUGCAUGAGCCUCCCUACCCCCUCCUCUGAAAAGUGCAGAGACUCUGCUGCAGAUGUCUUCAAAGCGAUGCGUUUAGGGCAGCUCAGGGCUCUGGGCCUGGGCUCUGCAGAGAGGCCUGGCCCAGGGAAUGACCCAGAAGAAUCCUCUGCAACUGAGAACUACAUUCAGCCGAGUCUGGCAGCAGAUCUGACAUAAGAGUUUCUGGAAUAUCAUAUGGGCAUGACUGGGUGCUGUGAGAUCUGGAGUCAGGGCCUUCUCUGGUCCCCACUGCAUCCUCCUGACCUCCAUCUUGCCUGGCAUACACUCAAACAAGACUAAUGGUGCCUGCCAUUCAUCAGCUCAGGAAGCUGAACCAGGAGGAUCAUGAGUUCAAGGCCUGCCUGGACUUGUAUAGUAAGUUAAAGGCCAGUCUGGAAAACUUGGUAAGACCCUACCUCAAAAUUAAAAUAAGAAGAGGGCGGAGGAUGUAGCUCAGUGCCAGAGUGCUUACUAGCUCUGGGUUUAAUCCCCAGUGUGAUAAAGAGACAAGGCAACAUGGGCUUUAAUCUCAGUGCAUGGGAAGCAGAGGCAGGCUGAUCAAACUGGAUAAUGAGACCCUAUCUCAAACAGAAAGAGAUAAAGAAGGAAAGGCAGGAGAGAAGAUAAAGAAAAAAGAGCAAUAAACAGGAAUGGGCCUCCUCUCUGCCACAGGUCACCUGGAUCUUCCUGGAGACAGCUCCAUAAAUUCAGAUCUGUUCAGAAUCCACCAGUCAUUCAAGCCACUUACCUAGCCACCCACUUUUAUUAAAAACCCAAAUUGAAACUGCA